AUAUAUAUAUAUAUACACUGUAGAAUAAUAUGUAGUUUUCAAUUUUAUAUUUAAAUGUAUGAUUACUCUUGACUAAAAUUUUGCAUAUGCGUCACAUAUGGAUUGUUUAGUACUGCUAGUUUCCUUAAGUAAUGCCUUAGUGACAUUUCACAAAUAUUGAUAUGUUGUAUUUUAAUUUUCAUUUCAUUCAACAUCUUUGUUAUUUCCCCUUUGAGUUUUUCUUUGACCCAUAGGUUUAGAAGUAUUUGAUAUCCAAAUGUUGGGCUUUUCCAGAUAUCCUUCAGUUACCAUUUUCUAAUAUCAUUCCAUUGUGGUCAGAAAGCAUACUUUUAAUGCCUUGGAUCUCUUUAAAUUUAUUGAGAGUUGAUUUGUGGUCUAGAAUGUGGUCUUUCUUGGUAAACGUUCUGUGUGCACAUGAGAAGAAAGUGUAUUCUGCUGUUGUUCAUUGAAGUUUUUUAUAAACGUCAGGUUACAUAUGUUGAUAGUGUUACCCAACUCUAAUGUAUCCUUGAUUUUCUAUUUAUUCUCUUAGUUAUUAACAAAGAAGUAUAGCUUAUCUCUGAGAAUAAUUAUGGAUUUGCUUAUUUCACCUUGGUAUUUAUCAGUUUUGAUGUAUUUUUGAAGCUCUCUCAAUAGGUACCUAAAUGUUUCUAGUGUAUGUCCUCAUGGUAAAAUGACUGUUUUAUGACCAAGAAAUUAUCUUUAUCCUUGGUAAUAUUUUUGACUUGAAAUCUACUUUGUCAGAUAUUCAUAUAGUCACUCUAGCAUUCUUUUGACUAAUGUCAGUAUGGUAUGUGGUUGUUUUUUUUUUCCAUUCUUUUCCUUUAAAACUAUUUGUUUCUUGGGGCACCUGGGUGGGUCAGUCGGUUAAGUAUCUGACUUCAGCUCAGGUCAUGAUCUUGCAGUUUGUGAGUUCAAGCCCCACGUUGGGCUCUUUGCUGACAGCUCAGAGCCUGGGACCUGCGUCAGAUUCGUUGUCUCCCUCUCUCUCUCUGCCCCUCCUCUGCUCGUGCUCUGUCUCUCCCAAAAAUAAAUAAACAACAAAAAAAAUUUUUUUUAAAUAUUUGUUUCUUUAUAUUUAAAGUGCAUUUUUGGACAUACAGUAUAGUUGGGCUGGCCUUUUUUUCUAUUCUGAUAAUCUUUGCCUUUUAGUUGAGGGUGUUUAGACCAUUUACAUUUAAUGUGACUAAUGAUCUGGUUAGGUUUAAAUUCACCAUCUUUCUGUUUUCUGUUUGUCUUGUCUGCUUUUUGUUUCCUUCCUCCUGUGCCAUCUUUUGAAUUGAGUAUUUUUAUGGUUCAGUUUUAUCUCUUAGGUUUGUAUAUCAGCUGUAACUCUUUGUUUUAGAGAUUGCUUUAACUUUCUGUAGUCUACCAUGUACUAAUGUUGUACAUGUAGUAUAAUUACCUUAGAAUAUUGUACUUCCAUUUCUCCCCUUUUGGCCUUUGUGCUUUUAUUUUCUUAUAUAAAAUAAGAAUAAGAAUGAUUUUUUUCUUCUAUGUAUGUUGUAAACUAAACACUGCAUAGUAAUUAAUUUUUUUAAAAGUUACCUUUUAAAGAGAUUUAAACAUUUUUUUUUAAAUGUCAUGUGUUUUUUCACAUUGUUACCAUUCUCCCUUCUCUUAUUCUUUUGUUGUACAUCCAGAUUUCCAUAAAAUCUGACCACUAUAUCUGUCUUGGCUGAAAUUAGAAGUCCCAGUGUUUCCACUCUUUGCUUUAAGGAUUUAUGAUUUACAAUUUAAUGGUUGGGCUUCAGUCAGUACUUUUAGAUGCCCUAACUACAUGCUUUUUAGGGUGUUUUUUUUUCAAUAAUAUUUACAUCACACAUUUAAAGAUAGUUUUCAUUCUUUAAAGAUAGUAUAAAUGAGUUAGACUUAUUCCUAGAUAUACAUAUUCAUCUGCUGCUUUCAGUAUUUCAAUAUUGAAGUUUUUUAGUAUCUUGUAGUUAACUCUAAGUUCAGCUAGCUCUUAAUAUUCUAACAUAAGACCAAUGUGUCACUUCACCUUCAAAAUAACAUGCUUGUUAUUUUCCUUUUCCUCUCCCCUUGUCAUAUGCAGAAAAAUAAUCCUAUUUGAAUAAUCCUAAUGAAUGUACUCUUAGUGAUCAUUUAAGUCCUUUUGAUAAGUUGGCAUUUCUAGUAGAAAUUAAUAAUAGUUUAUUAUACAAAGUGCAGUUUUAUAUAUUUAGGAUUCCCCUUAGUAAUUCAGAUGAUUGUAUCUUAAAUGACUUAAAGGCACUUUAGGGCAAUUAGGUGGGUGAAAAUUUCUGUUUACAAAAGAGAUCUAUUUAGGGAAAUAGAACUUAAAAUUUUUGUUUAAAUGGUUUCUUUUAUAGAGUUAUUUUAAAAUAAAUUUUUUCAGGGGGCCUGGGUGACUCAAUUGGUUAAGGUCAAGAUCUCAUGGUGUACAGGAUUGAGCCCCUCGCUGAGCUCUAUGCUGAGAGGACAGAGCCUGCUUGGGAUUCUCUCUCUCCCGCUCUGCCCUUCCCCGACUUGCACACGUUCUCUCUCUUUCAAAAUAAAUAAGUGAAGUUAAAAAAAAAUUUUUUUAAAUAAGCUUUUUCUAAGCUUUGAAUAAUCCAGGUAAUGAGGAAUCUCUAAUGACUGAGCGAGUAUGUCAAGUCACUAAAAACACCAACAAUCUGUGGGUUCUGGGGAGAGUGGUGGUAUAAAACUAUAGUUCUAUAAAAACUGUAAAACUAUAGUUCUGUAAAACUGUAAAACUGUAGUUCUGUAAAACUAUAGUUCAUAUAUCUUUCUCGUUGGUAGUGUGUGAAAAAAUCUUCUUUACCUCUGUUGCUGGUAGUCAUUUCCUGUUUUGGGGGAAGGGGAUGGUGAGGGAGAUGCAUUAAAUCAUUAAGAGACAGUUGAGGAGUAAGUUUUGUUGGGACAGCCCGCUUCUGGCAGGACAUCAUAAGGAUCUUUGCAGACCCACUUCCCAGUGAAACUGGCAAAAAUUACUUGUUUUGAUAGCAGUCAUUUAAAGUCUGAAAAUGGUCCUAAGGGUCUACAACAAAUGAAGAAAGAAAAUCUGCUAAAACUUGGGAAGAACAGCCCAAGUCUGUGGUAUUUGAACCAAGACUUGCUUCCUCUCUCCCCUUUUCUAACUCAACAAGAUGGAACCUGCACUCCACACUGGUGCAGCCAAGAACACGGGAUUCCCUCUCUCCUCACCACCUAGUUGGAGGGCACCUUCCUGAGAGGAGCAGAUGUCAGGAUUUCUCAUUCUGCCCAGCUGCAUGUUGCUGAGGCUACAUGUUCUGGGCAUGUGGGCCUGAGAGGCAGGGGCUUACUUCUGCUAUCCCACUCAUGGCACAGAAACGCUGCUUGUACACAGUGCCACUGAGAAUUACUCAUGUCUCAGCUCUUCAGGUAGCAGUUCCACACUGGGAGAAAGAUGCAAGUUCCCUCCACGCUACCAAGCAUUUUGGUCUCAAAGUUAGGUUGUCAUUCUAUAGUGAGCCACUAUCCCUGCUCUCAGACCCAUGGCUCAGAGAGUUAUACAAUAGAGAGUUCCGCAUCUCUUUCCAAAGUAACUAACUUGAUUUGUAACAAUAUGUGGAAAAUAUCAAGCCUACGGAUAUUCUCAGAAACAGUGGAGGUUGUGAAGGCAAUGAGGAAGAGUUUGGUAGAUGCAUUGGAGGUAAAUAAAGGAUAUUUUGGCUAGCUUGCUGGAGGGAACCAGGGAAAUACUGAGCUUGAAGGAAACCUCCUAGGGUCAGAAUAAAUCGCAAAUGUUGAGCUCCCUCCAAAGGAACUGAGAUUUGUGUGGAGCAGUUUAUGCUUCAGCAUCGUUGAAAACAAUAGAGCAAUGAGCUGACAAGUAGUGCUGCUUAAAAGCUGGGUUUUGUAAGGGAAAGAGACAGGGAGCCCUGCCAAAACUGGUAUCAUUUCAUGGUAACUUUGGGAAUACCCAAGACUGUGCCUCCUGAUGAGGAACACCAGGGGCUUCACACUGAGGAAAGAUGAGGGAAUAGACUUCACUGAAAUGAUUUAAGCAAUGAGUUAAUACAGUAAACAAAUAAAUAACAAUAACAAACCCCAGAGGGAGGCAACCAGUAUCCAGAGUCGGUACAGUACAGAAUCUAAAAUGUCCAGUUCCAACAGUAUUAGAAGACAUGGAAAGAAACAGGAAAUUAUGACCUCUAUACCAGAAAAAAGGGCAGGCAACAGAGACUGCCGAUUGAGUUGGUCAGAUGUGAGAUUUAACAAAGAUUUCAGAUUAGCUAUUAUAAAUAUAUUUGGAGAACUAAAGAAACCAGGGCUAAAGAAGUAAGGGAAAGUAUGAUGACAGUUUCUAUCAAAUAGAGAAUGUCAAUUAAGAGAAAUUAUAAAAAACUAGUUGGAAAUUCUGAGUUUGAAAAGUAUGAAAUGAAAAAUUCACUAGAGGGGCUCAAUGAUAGACUUGAAUUGGCAGAAGAAACAGCAAAUUUGUAGUUAGAUUGAUAGAGAUUAUGCAUUCUGAAGAACAAAAAAGAGUGAAGAAUAAUGAGUGAAGAAUAAUGAACAGAAUCUCAGAGAAAUGUAGGAUACCAUUAACUGUACUAGCAUAUAUGUAAUGGAAAUACCAAGGGAAGGAAAGAGCGUACUUUAAGAAACAGUGGGUGAAACUUCCCAAAUUAAUUGAAAAACAUUCAUCUGCAUAUUUUGGAACCUUAGUGAACUCCAAGUAGGAUAAAUUGCAAGAGAUUCACACACACACCUCAAAAUAAAAAUGCUGAAAGUCAAAGAAAAGGAGAAAAUCUUGAAAGCAGGAAAAGCAACUCAUCACUUACAAGGGAACCCCCAGUAAAAUUAAUAGUUAAUUUCUUAUCAGACAGAGGGCAUAAUACAGUGGGAUAAACACAAUCAGAAGUGCUGAAAGAGAAAAAAUUGCCAACCUGGGUGCCUGGGUGGCUCAGUCAUGACCUGAAAUCAUGGGUCAGAUGCUUAACCGAGCUGCCUU